rnacentral:rRNA from 1 species
UYUUCUUGAAUUUAUGGGAAGUCGGGCCUGUCCACUGAGGAUUAUUAAAGGACCGCGGUAUUUUGACCGUGCAAAGGUAGCAUAAUCAUUAGUCUYUUAAUUGGGGGCUGGAAUGAAUGGUUUGACGAAAUAAUUACUGUCUCUGGUAUGAGUGUAUUGAAUUUUAUUUUUAAGUUAAAAGGCUUAAAUAUUAAUGUGGGACGAGAAGACCCUAUAGAUCUUUAUAAUAUAUUUUAUAUUAUUUAUUUUGGAUGAUUGAGUUUAUUAUAUAAUUUAUAUUAUUUUAUUGGGGUGAUAAGAGAAUAUAAAAACUUCUAGAUUUUUGACUUUGAUAGAAGAUUUUUUAAUCCUUUAAUAUGRAAUAAAGAUUAAGAUACCUUAGGGAUAACAGCGUAAUCUUAUUGGAGAGUUCUUAUUGAUAAUAAGGAUUGCGACCUCGAUGUUGGAUUAAGAAAAUAUAUUAAUGUAGAUGUUAAUAUUAUUGGUCUGUUC